rnacentral:rRNA from 1 species
UACGAAGGGACCUAGCGUAGUUCGGAAUUACUGGGCUUAAAGAGUUCGUAGGUGGUUGAAAAAGUUGGUGGUGAAAUCCCAGAGCUUAACUCUGGAACUGCCAUCAAAACUUUUCAGCUAGAGUAUGAUAGAGGAAAGCAGAAUUUCUAGUGUAGAGGUGAAAUUCGUAGAUAUUAGAAAGAAUACCAAUUGCGAAGGCAGCUUUCUGGAUCAUUACUGACACUGAGGAACGAAAGCAUGGGUAGCGAAGAGGAUUAGAUACCCUCGUAGUCCAUGCCGUAAACGAUGUGUGUUAGACGUUGGAAAUUUAUUUUCAGUGUCGCAGCGAAAGCGAUAAACACACCGCCUGGGGAGUACGACCGCAAGGUUAAAACUCAAAUGAAUUGACGGGGACCCGCACAAGUAGUGGAGCAUGUGGUUUAAUUCGAAGAUACGCGCAGAACCUUACCAACACUUGACAUGUUCGUCGCGACUCUAAGAGAUUAGAGUUUUCGGUUCGGCCGGACGAAACACAGGUGCUGCAUGGCUGUCGUCAGCUCGUGUCGUGAGAUGUUGGGUUAAGUCCCGCAACGAGCGCAACCCUCACUUUUAGUUGCCAUCAUUAAGUUGGGCACUCUGAAAGAACUGCCAGUGAUAAGCUGGAGGAAGGUGGGGAUGACGUCAAGUCCUCAUGGCCCUUACGUGUUGGGCUACACACGUGCUACAAUGGUAUCUACAACAGGAAGCAAGACUGCGAAGUUAAGCAAAUCCCUAAAAGAUACCUCAGUUCGGAUUGCACUCUGCAACUCGAGUGCAUGAAGCUGGAAUUACUAGCAAUCGUGGAUCAGCGUGCCACGGUGAAUGCGUUCCCGGGUCU